rnacentral:snRNA from 1 species
AGCUUUGCGCAGUGGCAGUAUCGUAGCCAAUGAGGUUUAUCCAAGGCGCGAUUAUUGCUAAUUGAAAUAAUGCUCAAGGCAUACCCUGUGACAUUAAGAAAACUGAGGGCAGG